rnacentral:lncRNA from 1 species
GGGGGAAUGAGGGUCUCCUGCAGGCACCCACAGGAUGUGACCCAUUCCUUCUGCCUUUCCAAACACCCAUUAACCCAGAUCAAUUGCAAUUCAUUCACUGCCCGAAAUCAGUGUUCAAAUUCCAGCGUCUGAGAUGCUCACAAAAACCACUUGCUGGCUCCUUCCUCUGUAAAUUUGGGUUAGUGGGAUGUUUGGUGGUGUCCACAGGAGGACUUGGCAGUGUUUUGAACACUGACCAAGCAGUGCUCUUCAAAAGAGAGCAGCAGUCUCACUACUCAACUUCCAGUCCGCUCUGUAAAUCCUGCUAGGACAGCAAGCAUCAGAAACCAAUCCAAGUGUGCAAAGCAGGCUCGGUGGGAGGAGGUGGGAGGUGUAUUCCCACAGGCACCUGCUGAAGCAUCUCCUCAGCUCCUCCUGGCAGCACACAAAGAGUCACCAGCUUUGGCAGAGCUCAGAGCGGGGACUCCUCCCUCCUCCCGGCUCUCUCCAUCCUUCAGGCUCAGAGGGAGCCAGGCUCUGGAGAGAGCUGCUGCUGCCUGCCUGGGUCCCUGAGUGACAGCACCGAGAGCUGCAGAUGUGCAGCACCCACACGCCACUCCACAGCAGUGCAGCCACAGCCCAGGCCGAGGCACCACGACGGUGCUGGUGGGACCAGGCACAAAAUUCUGCCCACCCUGAGGCUCCUGAGUCGGCUUCUCUGGACACUGGACCAGAGUGAUAUGCUAGAUAAUAUCCAAAUACUGAAAUGCAAAGCAGGGCUGUGCCGCCCAGCUGGCUCCCUGCAGGAAAUGCUGCUGGUACCAUGCACAAGGGAUGGAAAAUGCGUCUCUCCGGAGCAGCUGCUGAGGCGCUGCUUCCUGCUUCCAGACCUUUGGAGCUCCAGCAUUUCCCAGCAAACCCGAAAUUCAUGGCAGGGCACCACUCGCCACCGUCUCGUUUUUGGUCCCCACGUUACCCCACAGCACCCCCAUCCCAGGGAGCUCCACCAGACCGAGACAAGGGAAUAUUGCAAGUGCUGUAUUUACAGGGCACUGUUAACUUCUGCUGCUGCUAUUUACAGUUUAUUUACAAACAAUCCCUGCAGUCACCAACAGCUGAACCCAGCAGAGGCAGACAGAACUUUAUGGCAGGCUGGCAAGGCAGAGCAGCCAGUUCCUCUCCUUUUCCCUUUCCAGCCCUGCCGAGGAAGGGCUGCCGUGGUUUGUGGCCGGGCUGGCACGG